GUCAGGCAAAGCCACAGGUGAUCCUUCGACGAUGACUCGAUAGAUGACGCAAAGUGGAGUUGCUCUGAUUGAAGUACGGUUUCUUAUUUCUUUUGAAGGAGACGUAGAAACAUCACCUGUACAGUAAAAAAAGAAUCUGUUUGUUAUGUUUAAACUACGACAGGUGAUCUGCCGAUCAACUAAUUGGAAAUUUGAUCGCUGUCCGGAAAGAGAUGUACACUUACUUCGAUAAAUAUCUAAUCUGGUAUAUAGUAUCAAAGUACUGUACUUUCUUCUUCUUAUGCAUUAUUUUUGAAGUACCGAAUUAUAAUGAAAGCCAUCAUAAUAUAAUGUUCAGAAGACUAUUCUCUAUUCUGAAUUUAUGUGAUUGGUCCGAAGAGUUCCGAUUUAUUAUAAUAAAUCUAUAUAUAAAAUAUUAAUUCAUAAAAAAAAAAACUGUAAACGAUAGUUCAGAUUAUUAAUAAAU
rnacentral:lncRNA from 1 species